rnacentral:rRNA from 1 species
UGAGUAACCUGCCCUUAACUCUGGGAUAAGCCUGGGAAACUGGGUCUAAUACCGGAUAUGACUCCUCAUCGCAUGGUGGGGGUGGAAAGCUUUAUUGUGGUUUUGGAUGGACUCGCGGCCUAUCAGCUUGUUGGUGAGGUAAUGGCUCACCAAGGCGACGACGGGUAGCCGGCCUGAGAGGGUGACCGGCCACACUGGGACUGAGACACGGCCCAGACUCCUACGGGAGCAG